rnacentral:rRNA from 1 species
AUUGCCCUAGUAACGGCGAGUGAAGCGGCAACAGCUCAAAUUUGAAAUCUGGCGUAAGCCCGAGUUGUAAUUUGUAGAGGAUGCUUCUGGGUAGCGGCCGGUCUAAGUUCCUUGGAACAGGACGUCAUAGAGGGUGAGAAUCCCGUAUGUGACUGGCUUGCACCCUCCACGUAGCUCCUUCGACGAGUCGAGUUGUUUGGGAAUGCAGCUCUAAAUGGGAGGUAAAUUUCUUCUAAAGCUAAAUACCGGCCAGAGACCGAUAGCGCACAAGUAGAGUGAUCGAAAGAUGAAAAGCACUUUGGAAAGAGAGUUAAAAAGCACGUGAAAUUGUUGAAAGGGAAGCGCCCGCAACCAGACUUUGCGGCGGUGUUCGGCCGGUCUUCUGACCGGUUUACUCGCCGCCGUGAGGCCAUCAUCGUCUGGGACCGCUGGAUAAGACCUGAGGAAUGUAGCUCCCUUCGGGGUGUGUUAUAGCCUCUGGUGAUGCAGCGCGUCUCGGGCGAGGUCCGCGCUUCGGCAAGGAUGAUGGCGUAAUGGUUGUCGGCGGCCCGUCUUGAAACACGGACCAAGGAGUCUAACAUCUAUGCGAGUGUUCGGGUGUCAAACCCCUACGCGUAAUGAAAGUGAACGGAGGUGGGAACUUUUUGUGCACCAUCGACCGAUCCUGAUGUCCUCGGAUGGAUUUGAGUAAGAGCAUAGCUGUUGGGACCCGAAAGAUGGUGAACUAUGCCUGAAUAGGGUGAAGCCAGAGGAAACUCUGGUGGAGGCUCGCAGCGGUUCUGACGUGCAAAUCGAUCGUCAAAUUUGGGUAUAGGGGCGAAAGACUAAUCGAACCAUCUAGUAGCUG